rnacentral:rRNA from 1 species
CGUAGGUGGCAAGCGUUGUCCGGAUUUAUUGGGUUUAAAGGGUGCGUAGGCGGACUUUGUAAGUCAGUGGUGAAAUACUCCAGCUCAACUGGAGAGGUGCCAUUGAUACUGCAGAGGCUAGAGUACUGAUGAGGUAGGCGGAAUGGACGGUGUAGCGGUGAAAUGCUUAGAUAUCGUCCAGAACACCGAUAGCGAAGGCAGCUUACUAAAGAGUAACUGACGCUGAGGCACGAAAGUGUGGGGAUCAAACAGGAUUAGAUACCCUGGUAGUCCACACUGUAAACGUUGAUCACUAGAUGUUGGCGAUACACUGCCAGCGUUCCAGCAAAAGCGAUAAGUGAUCCGACCUGGGGAGUACGCCCGCAAGGGUG